rnacentral:misc_RNA from 1 species
CAAAGUUAAUGCCUGUAUUUUCUUGUUCAGUAAACGCGCCAUCCACUUCAACAUCAUCAUUGCCAAAUGGAUUCACCUCGCGCUCUCUCCCACGCUCCCAUCCACCACUUCUAUUGUUCCAACCACCAGCAGCAGCAGCAGUAGUUCGACCACCAGAACCAUAUCCUGGACGUCCAUAAUCUGGUCUAGAACCACCAGGCCAGCGGGAACCACCUGCAGGUCCACCAUAACCUACACGAUCAUUGGCCUGUGAUUGAACAGCAGGUGGUGGAGCAGGAAGAUCAGUUGAAGGUGUCUGGUUACGAAGGUGAGGAGGAACAUAAGUGGAACGGGUAGGACGCAGUAAGCCAUUGUUACCAGAGGAAGCAGGGGCUGCACUCUCAGAUGCAGAGUUAGCAACAGAAUCUGCCCAUGAAGUUCUCAUAAUUUCUAGAAAUCACAAUCUUGAUUUCCAAAAUUACAAACCUAUAGCCUAAUCCACCAAGAAUGAUUACAAAAAUGGGUCUCCCCAAGUCAAAAACUCCUCUUAUCCCUUUGCUCUACAUAAAUUCCAGAUAAAAACCUGAUUGGUGGAAUUUCAUUAGAACUGAAAAUGCGAGAAACCCUAG